ACGAACGCUGGCGGCGUGCUUAACACAUGCAAGUCGAACGAAGAGCGAUGGAAGCUUGCUUCUAUCAAUCUUAGUGGCGAACGGGUGAGUAACGCGUAAUCAACCUGCCCUUCAGAGGGGGACAACAGUUGGAAACGACUGCUAAUACCGCAUACGAUCUAAUCUCGGCAUCGAGGAUAGAUGAAAGGUGGCCUCUACAUGUAAGCUAUCACUGAAGGAGGGGAUUGCGUCUGAUUAGCUAGUUGGAGGGGUAACGGCCCACCAAGGCGAUGAUCAGUAGCCGGUCUGAGAGGAUGAACGGCCACAUUGGGACUGAGACACGGCCCAGACUCCUACGGGAGGCAGCAGUGGGGAAUCUUCCGCAAUGGACGAAAGUCUGACGGAGCAACGCCGCGUGAGUGAUGACGGCCUUCGGGUUGUAAAGCUCUGUUAAUCGGGACGAAAGGCCUUCUUGCGAAUAGUGAGAAGGAUUGACGGUACCGGAAUAGAAAGCAACGGCUAACUACGUG
rnacentral:rRNA from 1 species